rnacentral:piRNA from 1 species
GCAUUGCUCAUGAAGUGUGCUUAGUGGACA